UACGUAGGGUGCGAGCGUUAAUCGGAAUUACUGGGCGUAAAGCGUGCGCAGGCGGCUUUGCAAGACAGAUGUGAAAUCCCCGGGCUCAACCUGGGAACUGCAUUUGUGACUGCAAGGCUAGAGUACGGCAGAGGGGGAUGGAAUUCCGCGUGUAGCAGUGAAAUGCGUAGAUAUGCGGAGGAACACCAAUGGCGAAGGCAAUC
rnacentral:rRNA from 1 species